CUAGCCGUAAACUAUGAGUACUGAAUUGAAGGGUCCUUCAUAGCCCUUCAGUUGUAGCGAAAGUGUUAAGUACUCCGCCUGGGGAGUAUGGUCGCAAGGCUGAAACUCAAAGAAAUUGAC
rnacentral:rRNA from 1 species